UGUAACUUAGUUAUUAAUGAACUGAUUUUCAUUCUAAGGUUGUAUAAGUGGAUUUAAGGGAUGUUAAAGGGUUGAGUUCAUUAAUAUAACUUAAGAGAAGAAAGUGGUAAUACUAGUCCUAAAGGAAUUAAACCUGAUUACAAGUUUACACAUAAAAACUUUAUUAAUAAUUAAAUUAAAAGAAGUAAUAAACAAUAAUAUGUGGGUUGCUGAGACAGCAGGACAGAUUUGUAGCAAAAGUUUGGCGCCCAACAAGUGGGAAAACUAUUAGUUUCAAUCAAGUAAAUUCAAGGUGAUUUUCACAACCAGUUUAAGAAGGAUGAUGAUUUAAAGGGAUGGGGUUGAAGGAGAGUCAACUGACAAGCCUUCACCUAAGGGUGAGUUUUAGGGAAGUCGAUAUUUGUUUCAUUUUAUUUCAUGCUAAUGGGAAGUUCGCGUUACUUCUGUUAUAACAAAUUUGUUAAUAAAAUACUCCUCGUUUGUCUUUUUAUUCUAAUCGAAUGUUAGUUUUAAUGGGGUUUUAAACUUGUUGAGGUGCUUUAAAGGCGCAACCAUUCAUUCUCCUAAAAAAAUCAUUAUGGAAAUAAGUACACGUUGCAAGUUUAUAGUGGAAGGAAGUAAAAAACUUAAUUAAAAUAAGUAACUUUCAGAACAAGAAAGUUUUAAGUGCAUAUAGUGUUACAUGUUACAUGUACUUCGCAAUGCAUCAACUUUGUUAAUCGUCAAAAGUAAAAUCUAAAAUUUAAUAAAUCUGAACAACUUUGUAGAUAUAUGUUUAUUAUUUUUUUUUAACGUGAUAAUGUGUUAUAACAUUACGUAAGAACGACGUAUAAUUUGAGAAGUAGUAAAAACAUCAAGGUCUGUUUUUUAUAAUUCUGAUUAAGCGAAAUAAAAUGCUUCUAUAUACUCUUGAUGCAAAUUGGAGGUAUUACUGACAGCAAUGACGACAGACAUUAUUUAAGACUGUUUACUUAAGUUUAGUAGAUAACUAUAAUCUUUGAAAAAUAUACGCACCUGCAGUGACUUAAAUUACUGCUUGCUUUGAACAUUUAUAUAUAAAGUCAUUUAUUAUUGUUUAAGUUAUGUGCUUAGUUUGUUAAAAGAUUUUGAGAGUGCUUAAGAGUAAAAUACACUUGAGUAUGGCCUGCGUACAUAUUGUAAACACCGAGAAACCAGCUAAACGAGUGGCACACCGCACGACGUCUCGAAGGUUAUCGGGAAUCUUCUGGAAUCAUGGUCAGCCGAGUAUAUAAGGAGCCGCGUCGCUGAUAAUUGUCAGUUCAGUGAAGUGAAGUUCGGAAUAUUGGCGCGAAAUUUAAAUCAGACAUAAAUAGUUGUAAAUAAAUACAGUAAAAAUAAAUUAGUUGACUAUU